rnacentral:rRNA from 1 species
GUGAGUCAUCGAAUCUUUGAACGCACCUUGCGCUCCUUGGUAUUCCGAGGAGCAUGCCCGUUUGAGUGUCAUUAAAUUCUCAACCUCACCCGUUUUCUGAACGGGGGAGGCUUGGAUGUGGGGGUUUGUGCAGGCUGCCUUCACUGGCGGUCUGCUCCCCUGAAAUGCAUUAGCGAGGUUCAUGCUGAACUUCCGUCUAUUGGUGUGAUAAUUAUCUACGCCGUGGACGAGGAUCAGACUCGCUUCUAACCGUCCGCGAGGACAAUACCUUGACAAUUUGACCUCAAAUCAGGUAGGACUACCCGCUGAACUUAA